rnacentral:rRNA from 1 species
GAUGAACGCUGGCGGCGUGCCUAACACAUGCAAGUCGAGCGAGAAGGUUAUGACGGAUUCUUCGGAUGACGGAUUAACUGGAAAGCGGCGGACGGGUGAGUAACGCGUGGGUAACCUGCCCCAUACACAGGGAUAGCCAUUGGAAACGAUGAUUAAUACCUGAUAACACUAUAGUAUCGCCUGAUACAUUAGUCAAAGAUUUAUCGGUAUGGGAUGGACCCGCGUCUGAUUAGCUAGUUGGUAAGGUAAUGGCUUACCAAGGCGACGAUCAGUAGCCGACCUGAGAGGGUGAUCGGCCACACUGGAACUGAGACACGGUCCAGACUCCUACGGGAGGCAGCAGUGGGGAAUAUUGCACAAUGGGCGCAAGCCUGAUGCAGCAACGCCGCGUGAGCGAAGAAGGUCUUCGGAUCGUAAAGCUCUUUUCUUAGGGAA